rnacentral:rRNA from 1 species
GACGAACGCUGGCGGCGUGCCUAAUACAUGCAAGUAGAACGCACAGUUUAUACCGUAGCUUGCUACACCAUAGACUGUGAGUUGCGAACGGGUGAGUAACGCGUAGGUAACCUGCCUGGUAGCGGGGGAUAACUAUUGGAAACGAUAGCUAAUACCGCAUAAUAUUGAUUAUUGCAUGAUAAUUAAUUGAAAGGUGCAAUUGCACCACUACCAGAUGGACCUGCGUUGUAUUAGCUAGUAGGUGAGGUAACGGCUCACCUAGGCGACGAUACAUAGCCGAACCGAGAGGGGGGAUGGGCCACACUGGAACUGGAACAGGGCCCGAACUCUUCCGGAAGCCGCCGGAGGGGAUUCUUGGGCAAGGAACGAAGGUCUAACGAGGCAAGGCGGCGGGGGUAAAGAAGGUUUUGGGUUGGUAAGGCUUGUUUUAAGAGAAGAACGGGUGUGAGAGUGGAAAGUUCACACUGUGACGGUAUCUUACCAGAAAGGGACGGCUAACUACGUG